AUAAAAUAUCGCCUAAUGCAGUUUUACCAAACAACAGUUAUUAUUUAACCGCCAAGAUGCUUAAACCAUCUCUUGUCAUAUUAGUGUUGACCCUGCUGCAUUUGUCGCAAUCAUCAAUCAUAGAUGAAGCCAAAGCUAAAUUAAACAACCUGUACUCCCUUGUUCUGGGUAACAUUCAAAUUGCUGAAAAUGAUUUCAGUCAAUAUUACACCGAUUUAAACGUCUACGGUCACAAUAUUUACGAUUUGGGGAAAAUUGAAAUCGAAACGAUCUACGGAACUGUUAUUAAGGAAAUUGAUCAAUUGGAAGAUUUGGGUCAUAAUGCAAACGUUGACGUUUCUUCCUGUACUAAAGGGCAAAAAGACGUAAUUAACAAAUUUCGUGAAUUAUUCGAAAACCGUGUGCAAGUCUGUAUAAAUGGCAAGAUUCAAGAAGCUGCAAGUUUAUUGAAAGGUUCAAAAUACAAUGUUGAUGUGACUAUGAAUUCAGUCCAUCGUCUUGAUCACGAUGUGAACGUUUGUGGAGACAGUAUUUUGUGCAUUUCUCCCAUCCUUACUAAAAUAAAUCUAGCUACGAUUUCCUUGCCUCAACAAAUUAAAACUGAAGUGAACAACGCCAGAGAUCUUCUACAAGAUCUGAAAGUGAUGGUUGCAGAAUGUCGAGACAACAAUGUCGCUGAUUUUACAAGUUUUGUUACCUCAUUAGUUGCAAUCAUUGCAAAUUGUGUCAAUAAAAUUAUUCCCAAGAUUUUAAUGUAAAGUUGGAAAAAUUGACAAUUUUUUGGUAUUUCCUAACGAUAUCUAAACCUAAUUUCAAUAAAUUGUGUUGCGAAAUUUAA